AUUGAACGCUGGCGGCAGGCCUAACACAUGCAAGUCGAACGAGUGGCGGACGGGUGAGUAAUGUCUGGGAAACUGCCUGAUGGAGGGGGAUAACUACUGGAAACGGUAGCGAAUACCGCAUACCAUCGGAUGUGCCCAGAUGGGAUUAGCUAGUAGGUGGGGUAAAGGCUCACCUAGGCGACGAUCCCUAGCUGGGCUGAGAGGAUGGCCAGCCACACUGGAACUGAGAUACGGUCCAGACUCCUACGGGAGGCGGCAGUGGGGAAUAUUGCACAAUGGGCGCAAUCCUGAUGCAGACAUGCCGCGUGUAGGAAGAGGGCCUGCGGGUUUUAAAGUACUUUCAGCGGGGAGGCGGUACCCGCAGAAGAAGCACCGGCUAACUCCGUGCCAGCAGCCGCGGUAAUAC
rnacentral:rRNA from 1 species